rnacentral:ncRNA from 1 species
AAAUGAUAAAGGCAAACCCCGGGAAACCGAGGGGCGCAAAGCUAUGGGUCUAAAGGACGACUGACCACGACCGUUCUAGGCGGUUUUAGCCAGACGCCUGACAAAAGAGGAGUCCAAUGACCGCCAGGCCGCCACA